rnacentral:rRNA from 1 species
GAUGAACGCUAGCUACAGGCUUAACACAUGCAAGUCGAGGGGCAGCAUUUUAGUUGCUUGCAAACUAAAGAUGGCGACCGGCGCACGGGUGAGUAACACGUAUCCAACCUGCCGAUAACUCGGGGAUAGCCUUUCGAAAGAAAGAUUAAUAUCCGAUAGUAUAUUAAAACCGCAUGGUUUUACUAUUAAAGAAUUUCGGUUAUCGAUGGGGAUGCGUUCCAUUAGUUUGUUGGCGGGGUAACGGCCCACCAAGACUACGAUGGAUAGGGGGUUCUGAGAGGAAGGUCCCCCACAUUGGAACUGAGACACGGUCCAAACUCCUACGGGAGGCAGCAGUGAGGAAUAUUGGUCAAUGGACGAGAGUCUGAACCAGCCAAGUAGCGUGAAGGAUGACUGCCCUAUGGGUUGUAAACUUCUUUUAUACGGGAAUAAAGUGAGCCACGUGUGGCUUUUUGUAUGUACCGUAUGAAUAAGGAUCGGCUAACUCCGUG